CAGGCCUAACACAUGCAAGUCGAACGGCAGCACGGUAGAGCUUGCUCUAUGGGUGGCGAGUGGCGGACGGGUGAGUAAGGCAUCGGGACCUACCCAGACGUGGGGGAUAACGUAGGGAAACUUACGCUAAUACCGCAUACGUCCUACGGGAGAAAGCGGGGGAUCGCAAGACCUCGCGCGAUUGGAUGGACCGAUGUGCGAUUAGCUAGUUGGUGAGGUAACGGCUCACCAAGGCGACGAUCGCUAGCUGGUCUGAGAGGAUGAUCAGCCACACUGGGACUGAGACACGGCCCAGACUCCUACGGGAGGCAGCAGUGGGGAAUAUUGGACAAUGGGCGCAAGCCUGAUCCAGCAAUGCCGCGUGUGUGAGGAAGGCCUUCGGGUUGUAAAGCUCUUUUACCCGAGAUGAUAAUGACAGUACCGGGAGAAUAAGCCCCGGCUAACUCCGUGCCAGCAGCCGCGGUAAU
rnacentral:rRNA from 1 species